AUACAUGAGCAAAAUCUCAACUUUAUUAGAAGAGACGCAUUUAUUAGAUAAAAAGCCAAUGCAUGCUUUUACAGUAUGGAAAUUGGUGAUUUAUAAUAACUUAGCAAAUCGCAAAGUGAAAACAGGCGAUAAAUCAUUCAAGUUUCUGACCUAUCAGCUUUCGACGGUAUGGUAUUGGCUUACCGUGGCAGUGACGGUUAACGGGGGAUUAGGGUUCGAUUCCGGAGAGGGAGCCUGAGAAACGGCUACCACAUCUAAGGAAGGCAGCAGGCGCGCAAAUUACCCAAUUCUAACAGUUUGAGAGAGGUAGUAACAAGAAAUAACAAUACAAGGCAAUUAAAAUGUUUUGUAAUUGGAAUGAUAGAAAUUUAAACCCUUUUUAAAGUAUCAAUUGGAGGGCAAGUCUGGUGCCAGCAGCCGCGGUAAUUCCAGCUCCAAUAGCGUAUAUUAAAAUUGUUGCAGUUAAAAAGCUCGUAGUUGAAGUUCUGCUAAAAGUAACCGGUCUGCUUUUAAUAAAAGUGGUAUCUUGGUGUGUAUUUAGCAAUGAUGUCCUUUGAAGUGUUUUUUACUUUAUUGUAAUAAAGCAUAUUCAGGACUUUUACUUUGAGAAAAUUAGAGUGUUUCUAGCAGGCCGACGCUUUGAAUACUGCAGCAUGGAAUAAUAAG
rnacentral:rRNA from 1 species